rnacentral:rRNA from 1 species
CAGUCGCCACGGUAAAACGGAGGGUGCAAGCGUUAAUCGGAAUUACUGGGCGUAAAGCGUGCGUAGGCGGUUCGUUAAGUCUGUUGUGAAAGCCCCGGGCUCAACCUGGGAAUGGCAAUGGAUACUGGCGAGCUAGAGUGUGUCAGAGGAUGGUGGAAUUCCCGGUGUAGCGGUGAAAUGCGUAGAGAUCGGGAGGAACAUCAGUGGCGACGGCGGCCAUCUGGGACAACACUGACGCUGAGGCACGAAAGCGUGGGAGCAAACAGGAUUAGAUACCCCCGUAGUCCCUGUCUCUUAUACA